ACAAACCACGAAGGCAAGUCAUAGAGGCAAAGGGAAGGUGACGCCUUUCUUCCAGGAUUUUCGUAUUUUUAUAUAUUAUCACAAUUAAGAAUGUGUUACUCUGCAGAUUUAUCAAUGAAUCGAACGAAGCUGUAGAAUGAAAUUUAUGCAGCUCGCCCCCGAUUUAUUGAGAAUAGGGCUUGAGGGGUUGUUCGUUUAUGAAUUUUUCUUCCUUUUUUUCAAUUGUGUUUGUGUCGUUUGGUGGUUCAUGAAGUAAAUCCAUUAUUCCUCCUGCAGUUGUUUCCUGAUCUUUCCGUUUUGUUGUCUCUCUUUUAAUUUCAAAAGAGCAAUAUGU
rnacentral:lncRNA from 1 species